rnacentral:lncRNA from 1 species
AUGGUCACAGCUUCGUGACCCUCCACCUCCUUGUUGCAACCCUAAUCCAUCAUCUGCUGCCAUACGUUCAACUUUCAGCGCUUAUCCAACUGUGAGAAAAUUUUGAUAAUAUCAAAUUUCCACAGUUCAUCAACCUCGAUUGAAGCUCGUCUUGGUUUGCCGUUUAUGCCAUCAUUCUCCAUUGAGGCACUCAAGCAGCUUUCUUUGCCCCUUCAAAUGUACUUUCUCUCUCCGAUGAGAAAGAAGAUAUAAAGAAGGCUAUAAGACCGUGGGAGAUGAAAGAUGAAGAGGUGGAAUUCUUUAGGGAAAAUUUGCUGGCACUCAAGCAGUACGAGCUGUCAAGGCAGAAACAAUUGAAGAACUCGAAAGUUGCAGCUUCAGGUUCUUGUUAGACACUUAGACAUCUAUGUUGUUGGAGGGAUUUGAUGGUAAAUAACUUACUCUGUAGAUAAAGGGAUUUUCGGGUGGUUGGUGGCGUGUUGGGUAACAAAUCUAAACGGGUCUGGGUUAUCCGAGCAGUUCUUUGGUUCAGGACAAAAUUGUUUAGGUCGAGUUGACCCAAAACACUUAUUUUGUUGAAAAAUAUGGGUGUGAAAUGGUGAAAAUGUGUUUGAAAGUAUAGUUUCAGUCCAAUACUUUUUUAAGAAACAAACUUUUAAAUCAAGUUGGUAUUUUGUAUUAAAGGAAACAAUUUUUUUUUACUAAAAGUAGCUUUUUUAAAUGCAAUUAAUCAUUUGAUGAAGCUGCAAAUUAUAACUUUAUUUCAGCGACAUGGGGUUAGAUGUGCUAAUAGGUUGCUGAUUGGGGCUGCUAUGGGGAGAAUAGAGGCCAAGACGACUAGGAAGCUGAAGAGAAGAUUAAUGUCUUGUUUUUAUGAGUUUGGUUUAUUUUUUUAUUAUUGUUUCUUUGUUUGGUUUCUUUUAAGAGGUUAAUGGUUCUGGUUCUACCCCUCUUGUAAGGUAAAAGGAAUGUACCAUAUGGACCAAUGUUUUAUGAAUGGGUCGAUUUGGGUUAUUUUUUCUGUAACGGUUCAAAUGUAUUCUUUGUACUUUAUGAAUGUGUCGGUUUGGGUUAUUAUUUC